ensembl:misc_RNA 7SK 7SK RNA
ACAUCUGUUGUCCCAUUGAUGACUAUCCUUGAUUUGGUUAAUCUGGCUGGCUAGACAGCUAU